GGGCCAAUCGUAUAGUGGCUUAUUAUGCUGUCUUAGGGCAAUCGCCUUGAUACCGGAGGUCGCACUAGGUUGACAGAGGUCCCCGGUUCGAUUCCGGGUUGGCCCC
rnacentral:tRNA from 1 species